rnacentral:miRNA from 1 species
UCAGAAGGGGAUGGCUUUGGCUC